rnacentral:rRNA from 1 species
GACGAACGCUGGCGGCGUGCUUAACACAUGCAAGUCGGACGGGAAGGCCCUUUCGGGGGGCCACGAGUGGCGCACGGGGGGGUAACACGUGAGUAACCUGCCCACAACUUUGGGAUAAAGCCAGGAAAAUGGGGCUAAUACUGGAUAUGUGCUCCUGCUGCAUGGGGGGGGUUGGAAAGCUCCGGCGGUUGUGGAUGGACUCGCGGCCUAUCAGCUUGUUGGUGGGGUAGUGGCCUACCAAGGCGGCGACGGGUAGCCGGCCUGAGAGGGUGACCGGCCACAUUGGGACUGAGAUACGGCCCAGACUCCUACGGGAGGCAGCAGUGGGGAAUAUUGCACAAUGGGCGCAAGCCUGAUGCAGCAACGCCGCGUGCGGGAUGACGGCCUUCGGGUUGUAAACCGCUUUCAGCAGGGACGAAGCUUUUUGUGACGGUACCUGCAGAAGAAGCACCGGCUAACUACGUG